GAGGUUGUGGCUCAGUGGUAGAGCGCUUGCCUUGCAUGUGUGAGGCACUGGGUUCCAUCUUCAGCACCACA
rnacentral:tRNA from 1 species